CUGGGAUUCUGUAGCUGACAGAAAAUUCAAGACCACUAUUCUCACCCUGCUCCCCACUCUUUAAAAUGAGUUUGUGCUAGAAGAACCCUUAACAAACAGGUUUAAAAAGAUCAAGUCUUUCUCAAGUAAGACCAUGGCAUAAGCAAACCAGCACAC
rnacentral:lncRNA from 1 species